ACCCAGACUCCUACGGGAGGCAGCAGUGGGGAAUAUUGCACAAUGGGGGAAACCCUGAUGCAGCGACGCCGCGUGAGUGAAGAAGUAAUUCGGUAUGUAAAGCCCUAUCAGCAGGGAAGAAGAAAUGACGGUACCUGAGUAAGAAGCACCGGCUAAAUACGUGCCAGCAGCCGCGGUAAUACGUAGGGGGCAAGCGUUAUCCGGAUUUACUGGGUGUAAAGGGGGCGCAGACGGCGAUGCAAGCCAGGAGUGAAAGCCCGCGGCCCAACCGCGGGACUGCAUUGGGAACUCCCGGGCUGGAGUGCCGGAGAGGUAGGCGGAAUUCCUAGUGUAGCGGUGAAAUGCGUAGAUAUUAGGAGGAACACCAGUGGCGAAGGCGGCCUACUGGACGGUGACUGACGCUGAGGCUCGAAAGCGUGGGGAGCAAACAGGAUUAGAUACCCUCGUAC
rnacentral:rRNA from 1 species